rnacentral:rRNA from 1 species
GAUGAACGCUGGCGGCGUGCCUAAUACAUGCAAGUCGAGCGAACAGACGAGGAGCUUGCUCCUCUGACGUUAGCGGCGGACGGGUGAGUAACACGUGGAUAACCUACCUAUAAGACUGGGAUAACUUCGGGAAACCGGAGCUAAUACCGGAUAAUAUAUUGAACCGCAUGGUUCAAUAGUGAAAGACGGUUUUGCUGUCACUUAUAGAUGGAUCCGCGCCGCAUUAGCUAGUUGGUAAGGUAACGGCUUACCAAGGCAACGAUGCGUAGCCGACCUGAGAGGGUGAGCGGCCACACUGGAAGUGAGACACGGACGAGACUCCUACGGAAGGCAGCAGUAGGGAAUCUUCGGCAAUGGGCGAAAGCCUGACGGAGCAACGCCGCGUCAGUGAUGAAGGUCUUAGGAUCGUAAAACUCUGUUAGUAGGGAAGAACAAAUGUGUAAGUAACUAUGCACGGCUUGACGGUACCUAAUCAGAAAGCCACGGAUAACUCCGUG